CACGUAGGGCGCGAGCGUUGUUCGGAAUUACUGGGCGUAAAGAGUGUGUAGGCGGUGCUCCCAGUCUGUUGUGAAAUCUCCCGGCUUAACUGGGAGGGUGCAGCGGAAACUAGAGUGCUAGAGGGUGGGAGAGGUAAGCGGAAUUCCUGGUGUAGCGGUGAAAUGCGUAGAUAUCAGGAGGAACACCUGUGGUGUAGACAGCUUACUGGACCACUUCUGACGCUGAGACACGAAAGCGUGGGUAGCAAACAGG
rnacentral:rRNA from 1 species